GGGGCUAAUACCGGAUGNUGUUUGAACCGCAUGGUUCAGACAUAAAAGGUGGCUUCGGCUACCACNUACAGAUGGACCCGCGGCGCAUUAGCUAGUUGGUGAGGUAACGGCUCACCAAGGCAACGAUGCGUAGCCGACCUGAGAGGGUGAUCGGCCACACUGGGACUGAGACACGGCCCAGACUCCUACGGGAGGCAGCAGUAGGGAAUCUUCCGCAAUGGACGAAAGUCUGACGGAGCAACGCCGCGUGAGUGAUGAAGGUUUUCGGAUCGUAAAGCUCUGUUGUUAGGGAAGAACAAGUGCCGUUCAAAUAGGGCGGCACCUUGACGGUACCUAACCAGAAAGCCACGGCUAACUACGUGCCAGCAGCCGCGGUAAUACGUAGGUGGCAAGCGUUGUCCGGAAUUAUUGGGCGUAAAGGGCUCGCAGGCGGUUUCUUAAGUCUGAUGUGAAAGCCCCCGGCUCAACCGGGGAGGGUCAUUGGAAACUGGGGAACUUGAGUGCAGAAGAGGAGAGUGGAAUUCCACGUGUAGCGGUGAAAUGCGUAGAGAUGUGGAGGAACACCAGUGGCGAAGGCGACUCUCUGGUCUGUAACUGACGCUGAGGAGCGAAAGCGUGGGGAGCGAACAGGAUUAGAUACCCUGGUAGUCCACGCCGUAAACGAUGAGUGCUAAGUGUUAGGGGGUUUCCGCCCCUUAGUGCUGCAGCUAACGCAUUAAGCACUCCGCCUGGGGAGUACGGUCGCAAGACUGAAACUCAAAGGAAUUGACGGGGGCCCGCACAAGCGGUGGAGCAUGUGGUUUAAUUNGAAGCAACGCGAAGAACCUUACCAGGUCUUGACAUCCUCUGACAAUCCUAGAGAUAGGACGUCCCCUUCGGGGGCAGAGUGACAGGUGGUNCANGGUUGUNGUCAGCUCGUGUCGUGAGAUGUUGGGUUAAGUCCCGCAACGAGCGCAACCCUUGAUCUUAGUUGCCAGCAUUCAGUUGGGCACUCUAAGGUGACUGCCGGUGACAAACCGGAGGAAGGUGGGGAUGACGUCAAAUCAUCAUGCCCCUUAUGACCUGGGCUACACACGUGCUACAAUGGGCAGAACAAAGGGCAGCGAAACCGCGAGGUUAAGCCAAUCCCACNAAAUCUGUUCUCAGUUCGGAUCGCAGUCUGCAACUCGACUGCGUGAAGCUGGAAUCGCUAGUAAUCUGC
rnacentral:rRNA from 1 species